rnacentral:rRNA from 1 species
CCUAUGGGGGGCUGUAGUCGAGAAUCUUGGGCAAUGGGCGAAAGCCUGACCCAGCAAUGCCGCGUGCGGGAUGAAGGUCUUCGGAUUGUAAACCGCUGUCACUGGGGACGAAUUUUGACGGUACCUGGAGAGGAAGACACGGCGAACUACGUGCCAGCAGCCGCGGUAAUACGUAGGUGUCGAGCGUUGUUCGGAUUCAUUGGGCGUAAAGGGUCCGGAGGGGGGUGGGUAAGUCUGAUGUGAAAUCCCGGAGCUCAACUCCGGAACUGCAUUGGAAACUGACUGACUAGAGCAUCGGAGAGGAGAUUGGAAUUCCAGGUGUAGCGAUAAAAUGCGUAGAUAUCGGGAAGAACACCGAAAGCGAAGGCAGAUCUCUGGACGAUUGCUGACCCUCAGGGACGAAAGCGUGGGGAGCAAACA